UUCAUGCCCUAAUUUCUAAAUCUCACACCUAAUUUUUCUAAGUUUUCCAUGCUCUUCAAAUUGCUGUCGUCGUCUUCAACAUUCGAAAACCUGCUGCCAUCGUCUUCAACAUCCGCCAAAGCUUCGACGUCCGGUCGAGUCAUCGACGUCCGGUCGAGUCAUCGACGUCCGCCCACUCUUCGACGCGCAUAGUCCCACCAUCACCACCAGUCCCUUCGACACCGCCGUUUGUUGGAGCGUGGAUGGAUUAUUUGAUUUAAUAAAGAAAAGAAGCUCACGGAUACAACUUUAAAACAAAGAAGCUUUUGUUUCUUGAUUUAAUGUUUUCUAUGGAGCUAUAAGGAUUCCUUUACAUCUCAAAUCAACAAAUGAGCUUCAUAUAGUUCUAAAUUAAGAAGACUACUGGUGCCUACCUUUUGUGGCCACACACGACUUAUAAAUGCUACAAUUAUUAGUCAAUCAGUGAGUAGGUGUUUUCUUAUCUGAUAGAGACCUCUUUGUGGGAGUUGAAUGACAAGAUAUCUUCUCCAAAAGAAGCUUAUGAUGCCUUAUGUCUUUUCUCAUCAAGUUUAAGGCUCAUACCUUCUUCCAGAAUUGAUUCUGGGCUCUGAAAAGCCUUUGUCAGGCCUGUUGUAUUCUUGGUUUCUUACUGGACUGUUUACAUGACUCCAUGAUUCAAAUUCAUUUCUCCUCCAAGAAGGGCCUCCUCCUCUUCCCACUCCCAUGGAUCCUCCUCCAACAAAUUUACUGUCAUUAUUUUGGUUAUGUGUUGCAGUUAAAUGAACUGAAUGUAAACCUUUCUUAUAUUUUUAUUUUGAUGUGUAGAGUCAUACUUUAAAAUUUCAUUUUGUUUUCUUAUCAGGUUUUGCAAGAAUCCAUUGAAGCAAUAAACCCAUAUUUGCUGCAAUUGAUUAAUUUAUAAGCCUUUUUGUAGAUUUGGUAGCCAAAUUUUGGUUCAAAUGUAUUUAUUUAAAUAGUUUGUUCGUAUCAAAACAUAUAUAUUCAUUGCUUCAUUGUACAAACACUUUACGAACAAUUGUAUAUAUAUUAAAGUGUUCAUCAUUUCUUUC